AUUGAACGCUGGCGGCAGGCCUAACACAUGCAAGUCGAACGAGUGGCGGACGGGUGAGUAAUGUCUGGGAAACUGCCUGAUGGAGGGGGAUAACUACUGGAAACGGUAGCUAAUACCGCAUACCAUCGGAUGUGCCCAGAUGGGAUUAGCUAGUAGGUGGGGUAAAGGCUCACCUGGGCGACGAUCCCUAGCUGGUCUGAGAGGAUGACCGGCCACACAGAAACUGAGCCACGGUCCAGACGCCUACGGGAGGCAGCAGGGGGGAAUAUUGAACACUGGGCGAAAGCCUGAUGCAGCCAUGCCGCGUGUAUGAAGAAGGCCUUCGGGUGGUAAAGUACUUUCAGCGGGGAGGCGUUACCCGCAGAAGAAGCACCGGCUAACGCCGUGCCAGCAGCCGCGGUAAUUC
rnacentral:rRNA from 1 species